UACGGAGGGUGCGAGCGUUGUCCGGAAUCAUUGGGCGUAAAGGGCGCGUAGGUGGCGGGACAAGCGUGCGGUGAAAGCUCGGGGCUCAACCCCGAGUCGGCCGUGCGAACUGUUUUGCUUGAGCACUGUAGAGGCAGGCGGAAUUCCGGGUGUAGCGGUGGAAUGCGUAGAGAUCCGGAAGAACACCGGUGGCGAAGGCGGCCUGCUGGGCAGUAGCUGACACUGAGGCGCGACAGCGUGGGGAGCA
rnacentral:rRNA from 1 species